rnacentral:lncRNA from 1 species
UGCCUGUGUUGCUAUUCCUGCUCAGAUGAAAGAAAUUCAAAUAGUUAUUGAUUGGCGCUGAGGGGAGAGUGCGGGGAUCCGGUCUGGCUCCGUUACAGCUGCACCCAGCCCCUGCCCGGCCUGCUUCCAGCCUUGGGCCCUCAGGCCCUGCUCUGGCUCCUGCCUCCAGCCUGUUCCCAGCCCCUGCCUGGGCACCUACCCUAGUCUUUGUCUUGGGGCAGCCAAAGGAGCACAUUUUAACAUGUGCUCAGUUAAAAACACUUCCUGACAUACGCUUUCAUUUAGAGCAGUCAUCAGGAGCAGUUCCAGCCGAGGAGAUACAAGCAGAAGUUGCUGGACAUGAGCCCGGACCCCAGCCUCAGCCCCAGGCCAGGUGCUGCGAGGGCAAAAAAAAAAGCCCAGAGUCUGGCUGAGGUGCUGAGCUCACUGCUGACCCCACUCCCGAGGAGAUGUGCAGGAAUCAGCAGGAAGGGUCAUCG